CACACACACACACCACUUAUUAAAACACAAAACUAAAGGAGGAAAAAAAAACCCAGUUGAGCUGAUAAUAACACCUGGCCUGGCACUAAUCAUAAAGUCGUGCUAUCCUCACUGCUGAACUGAGAAGGAAAUUCCAUGGUUUGUUCCACAGAAUUCUGUGCCCUUUCCCACAGAGUUCUGGAGAACUGUGGGUGGCUUUUAACUAUGGCUGACACAGUCCGACUCUGCAGUUAAUCAGGACACAGCCAACACUGGGGGCCUCGCACUGUGGGAGCCGAGACUCAUAACUGAACAGUGAAAGGUCUGAACUGGACAGGUGGUAACCUGAAUUCUGAUCCUACAUCUGUCACCGACAACUUCCAUGAUUUCAGAAAGACAUUUCUUCUGUGCAAGCCUGAUUUCCUUACUGAUUUACAGACAGUUUACUGGAAGGGUUCUAAGUUCCCCUCUCCAUGUAAAAUCUUCAGGAAGGCAUUAACUGACAAUUUUCAUCACAGCCCACAGUUCCUUCUUUCAAAUGAAAGCAACAGAAAUUUAGAAGAAAAAAAAAUACAAAGCCUGAAAAAAUUUAGAAAUUUACAAAUUCUUCUAUUCUCUCAUGACCAUGGGCUCUGGCCUGUAUCAGAAAGCCUAAUACCAGAAAGAACAAGACAAAAGAAUUCUUGGUGCUUAAAUAUCUGA
rnacentral:lncRNA from 1 species